AGGCUUACAGGCGACGACGGGUAGCCGGCCUGAGAGGGUGACCGGCCACAUUGGGACUGAGACACGGCCCAGACUCCUACGGGAGGCAGCAGUGGGGAAUAUUGCACAAUGGGCGAAAGCCUGAUGCAGCGACGCCGCGUGAGGGAUGACGGCCUUCGGGUUGUAAACCUCUUUCAGCAGGGACGAAGCGAAAGUGACGGUACCUGCAGAAGAAGCACCGGCUAACUACGUGCAGGCCAGCCGCGGG
rnacentral:rRNA from 1 species